AUACUUACCUGGCAGGGAGAUACCAUGAUCAUGAAGGUGGUUCACCCAGGGCGAGGGCUCAGCCAUUGCACUUCGGGUUGUGCUGACCGAUGCGAAUUCCCCGUCUUAGGAAUCUCGACUGCAUAAUUUGUGGUAGUGGGGACUGCGUCCGCGCUCUCCCCU